GAUGAACGCUAGCGGCAGGCUUAACACAUGCAAGUCGAGGGGUAUAGUUCUUCGGAGCUAGAGACCGGCGCACGGGUGCGUAACGCGUAUGCAAUCUGCCUUCCACAGAGGGAUAGCCCAGAGAAAUUUGGAUUAAUACUCCAUAUCAUCAUUUUCCGGCAUCGGAAUAUGCUUAAAGACACAACGUCGGAAGAUGAGCAUGCAUCCAAUUAGCUAGUUUGUAAGGUAACGGCUUACCAAGGCGACGAUGGGUAGGGGUCCAGAGAGUGAGAUCCCCCACACUGGUACUGAGACACGGACCAGGCCCCUACGGGAGGCAGCGGUGAGGAAUAUUGGUCAAUGGGCGCAAGCCUGAACCAGCCAUGCCGCGUGCAGGAUGACGGUCCUAUGGAUUGUAAACUGCUUUUGUACGGGAAGAAACACUCCCUCGUGAGGGAGCUUGACGGUACCGUAAGAAUAAGGAUCGGCUAACUCCGUGCCAGCCGCCGCAGUAA
rnacentral:rRNA from 1 species